rnacentral:rRNA from 1 species
UGGCACCACGAGGGUUUAACUGUCUCCUUUUUCCAAUCAGUGAAACUAAUCUCCCCGUGAAGAAGCUGGGAUUUUUUUAUAAGACGAGAAGACCCUAUGGAGCUUUAAACUAUUUUACACCUGCUGCCCACAAACAACUUCCAGAAAUUAACCCUAAAGCAUAGCACUUUGAUUAAUAGUUUUUGAUUGGGGUGAUCGCGGAGUAAAAAAUAACCUCCACGACGAUAAGGAUUCUUCCUGAGCCAUAAGCCACAACUUUAAGCACUAAUAUUAUUAACGGCUAUUGACCCAAUAAUUUUGAUCAACGAACCAAGUUACCCUAGGGAUAACAGCGCAAUCCACUUCAAGAGCUCCUAUCGACAAGUGGGUUUACGACCUCGAUGUUGGAUCAGGGUAUCCUAGUGGUGCAGCCGCUACUAACGGUUCGUUUGUUCAACGAUUAAAACCCUACGUGAUCU